rnacentral:rRNA from 1 species
AUUGAACGCUGGCGGCAGGCCUAACACAUGCAAGUCGAGCGGAUGAAGGGAGCUUGCUCCUGGAUUCAGCGGCGGACGGGUGAGUAAUGCCUAGGAAUCUGCCUGGUAGUGGGGGAUAACGUCCGGAAACGGGCGCUAAUACCGCAUACGUCCUGAGGGAGAAAGUGGGGGAUCUUCGGACUUCACGCUAUCAGAUGAGCCUAGGUCGGAUUAGCUAGUUGGUGGGGUAAAGGCCUACCAAGGCGACGAUCCGUAACUGGUCUGAGAGGAUGAUCAGUCACACUCGAACUGAGACACGGUCCAGACUCCUACGGGGGGCAGCAGUGGGGAAUAUUGGACAAUGGGCGAAAGCCUGAUCCAGCCAUGCCGCGUGUGAGAAGAAGGUCUUCGGAUUGUAAAGCACUUUAAGUUGGGAGGAAGGGCAGUAAGUUAAUACCUUGCUGUUUUGACGUUACCAACAGAAUAAGCACCGGCUAACUUCGUG